rnacentral:rRNA from 1 species
AUUGAACGCUGGCGGCAGGCCUAACACAUGCAAGUCGAGCGGAGCGGCGGACGGGUGAGUAAUGCCUAGGAAUCUGCCUGGCAGUGGGGGAUAACGACCGGAAACGGGCGCUAAUACCGCAUACUAUCAGAUGAGUCUAGGCGGGAUUAGCUAGUUGGUGGGGUAAAGGCUUACCAAGGCGACGAUCCGUAACUGGUUUGAGAGGAUGAUCAGUCACACUGGAACUGAGACACGGUCCAGACUCCUACGGGAGGCAGCAGUGGGGAAUAUUGGACAAUGGGCGCAAGCCUGAUCCAGCCAUGCCGCGUGUAUGAAGAAGGUCUUCGGGUUGUAAAGCACUUUAAGUUGGGAGGCGUUACCGACAGAAUAAGCACCGGCUAACUUCGUGCCAGCAGCCGCGGUAAUAC